rnacentral:rRNA from 1 species
GCGCACCAGGCGAGAAACCUCCGCAAUACACGAAAGUGUGACGGGGCCAUCCCGAGUGCCGUCCGCUGAGGACGGCUUUUCCCCAGUGUACACAGCUGGGGGAAUAAGGAGAGGGCAAGCCUGGUGUCAGCCGCCGCGGUAAUACCAGCUCUCCGAGUGGUGGGGACGCUUAUUGGGCCUAAAGCAUCCGUAGCCGGCUGGGCAAGUCCUCCGUUAAAUCCAACGAUUCAAUCGUUGGGCUGCGGGGGAUACUGUCCAGCUUGGGGGCGGGAGAGGCCGACGGUAUUCCCGGGGUAGGGGUGAAAUCCUAUAAUCCCGGGAGGACCACCAGUGGCGAAGGCUGUCGGCUAGAACGCGCCCGACGGUGAGGGAUGAAAGCUGGGGGAGCGAACCGGAUUAGAUACCCCUGUAGU